GGUCUAUUAGUCUAGUUGGUUAGGACGUCGGAUUCUGAUCUCGAAAUCAGUUCCUUCCGUAAGCCCAGGUUCGAAUCCUGGAUGGACCU
rnacentral:tRNA from 1 species